GGUGAACGCUGGCGGCAUGCCUAACACAUGCAAGUCGAACGAGACCUUCGGGUCUAGUGGCGCACGGGUGCGUAACGCGUGGGAAUCUGCCCUUGGGUUCGGAAUAACAGUUGGAAACGACUGCUAAUACCGGAUGAUGACUUCGGCCCAAAGAUUUAUCGCCCAGGGAUGAGCCCGCGUAGGAUUAGCUUGUUGGUGAGGUAAAGGCUCACCAAGGCGACGAUCCUUAGCUGGUCUGAGAGGAUGAUCAGCCACACUGGGACUGAGACACGGCCCAGACUCCUACGGGAGGCAGCAGUGGGGAAUAUUGGACAAUGGGCGAAAGCCUGAUCCAGCAAUGCCGCGUGAGUGAUGAAGGCCUUAGGGUUGUAAAGCUCUUUUACCCGGGAUGAUAAUGACAGUACCGGGAGAAUAAGCCCCGGCUAACUCCGUGCCAGCCGCCGCGGUAAGAC
rnacentral:rRNA from 1 species